AUCGAACGCUGGCGGCAGGCCUAACACAUGCAAGUCGAGCGAGCGGCGGACGGGUGAGUACUGUCUGGGUAACUGCCUGUCGGAGGGGGCUAACUACUGGAAACGGUAGCUAAAACCGGAUACUAUCAGAUGUUCCCAGGUGGGCUCACCUAGUGGGUGGGGUAAUGGCUCACCUAGGCGACGAUCCCUAGCUGGUCUGUGAGGAUGACCAGCCACACUGGAACUGAGACACGGUCCAGACUCCUACGGGAGGCAGCAGUGGGGAAUAUUGCACAAUGGGCGCAAGCCUGAUGCAGCAAUGCGGCGUGUAUGAAGAAGGCCUUCGGGUUGUAAAGUACUUUCAGCGAGGAGGCGUUACUCGCAGAAGAAGCACCGGCUAACUCCGUGCCAGCCGCCGCGGUAAUUC
rnacentral:rRNA from 1 species